CCCAGAAAUUAUUGAAUAAUUUUACUUUCACCCUGGCUGGCAUGUUAAAAUUUUAUUUAUCUUAUUUGAUAUUUCCACAGAGAAGCGCUCCAUAAAAGCAGCUCCACAGGUGGGUUAAGAGCAGACUUUAAUAUUAAUAUCUUUAUUAUGAUGCGAGCGCACGAAGCUCUUACUUUCCGCCCUGAUUAUUUCCCAUCUUUAACUUAACUUCAUAAUGAAAUUAAUUAAGGAUCAGACUAGUAUUUCAUGUGGUGGCAGAUAUAGUGUGUUUGACAAACUGAUGGUGUUAUUUUUCUAUCUGGACUGAGAUGAACAAAUUCAUUCAAGUCUAUUUUAUAUAUAUAUAUAGUCUGAUCCUUGACAAAUAUUGGCUGUACAAAAGUAACACCACAGUAAUAGCAUGGAAAAAGCGGAUUUAUCCUGAAACUCUCUUGUAAACACUGAACAUGUCCAUUGAUUUCUAAUUAUGUCUGGUUGUCAGAUGCACAAAAUUGUUCUUCAAAUUAAUUUCAGAAUAAUAUGCAACACAGGAACGAGGCGAGUUUCAUUUGUUUCUGUUCAAUAGUUUAUACUGUAGCUUGUUCUCUAUGACCACACAAUGUAAACAAUGGUGGAAAGGACUCAAUCACAUCCAAGACAAAUUCUUGGGGCGUGUCAGCACAGCAUAGGACUUUUAGCAGCAAGUGUGUUAUUAUGUGAUGUUACUUUGAUGUUAAAGUGAACUUAUACAGGAUUAUUUGUUGUGACUAAAUUCUUUUAUUCUCUGCCUGAGAUCUUGCCUCCUGAUGUGCUGGAUCAUGGCUGUGUAAAUCAAGGACAGGAUGAGAUCCAGCAAACUGCUGGCGAGGAGCGCGAAUGGAUCAUCCAUGUGGCUGGAGGUGGUGAGGUGGAAUGACACUAAAGGAAAAAGCAGACUCUUGGGAGUCUGACUUCAUUCUUGGAGUAGCUCUGAGUGGGUGGUGGACUGUGCUGGUGGAGAAUGAAGGGUGAUGGACUGACCUGUCACCACUUGUGGAUGAAUUGUGGAGCACACAGGUGAGUGUUCAUGCUGAUACAAUUCGGGAAUGUAAAUAAAGGUGGGAUGAACUCAUGCCACAUUGUGUGAAUGGGUCGAUGCUUGCAGGACAUGGGGACAACUUAAGGGAGAAUGUGUUGGACAAGCAUCAAGGGUGGAAGAAGAUUUCUAUAGCACUUUUCCAUUUAGCAAAUGCUCAAAGCACUUUACAACAAUGCCUCACAGUUACUUCAACGGCUACGGUCUAUACCCGUUUUUUACAGCUUGGUCGACAGACAAUACAGAUUAAGUGUCUUGACCAAGGACAGAGACAGGUAGCACAAGCAGAAUAUGAAGUCAGAUAUGGGUAAAAUCCUAUUUCUGUGGCUGGUUUAGCAUCAACCCAUUCACCGACUUACUAAUUGCAGUCUAUUUUACUGGGACUCUAAUUUUUACCUAAUGGUUGUCUUUUAUAACUGUAUACUGUGGCUUAGCUCCAACAUUUCAAUCUGUCCAUGUUCUGACAAUUCUGUAUUGUGCUUUCCUCUAAUUUGUUCAUAUGGCCUAUAGCAGAUGGUCAACCUGCUAAGUUUGACUAACUUAAGGUAUCUUCAAAUAAGCAAAGAAAAAAACAAAACAAAAAAACAAAAACAGAGGAAGUUUUUCCCUUUCCACUGUCUUCAGUGUGCUUCAGUAUUAAACUGGAUUGAAAUGAACAGACGGAUGUACAAACAGGACUCUUUACAUCUCCCUUUUCCAGUCUGUGGUGGGAGAUAGAAAUCAUGACAUACAGUAUAAACUUAAUUUGAAUCUGCAUUCCAUUAUUUAAACACUAUAAGAGGCUAAUUAUUUUGCAG